UCGAACUCUCCAGAGAAUCCAGGGGCUCUCAACUUCAAACCCUAGCUUUGCUCAAAUCGAUCAAAUUGGAAGGCCAAAUCAGUACCAAAUCGAAAUCCAAGCUUAUAUUAGUGAUCACCUAAGUGAAGGGAUCACGAGUUUUGACACUUAACGAGCAAGGUGGAGGCUUGGGAAGAAACGGGUCAAACGAAUCAAGAAGGAAAAGAAAAGCGUAGCUCGGAUACGAGGAAUUUAAUCCAUGGUUUGCGUUGCUAUUGAUUAGAAAUUAAUAGCAAAAGGUAUGUAAAUGGGUCAAUCCCAUGACUCGAGCCAGGUACGCAUAGUUAAGUUGCUAGUUAAACAUGCAAAUAUGGGUCAAAUAAUUAGCGAGAGUCCUUCGUCGUAAAUAGGGACUAAAAAUGACCAAAACGCCAUGAUUUGUAAAUCGGGCAAAUGACCCUCAGAGGUCGUUUAGAUACUAGUAUUAUGAUUAUGCAACUCUUAGAUAUAUUUAAGAGUUGUAAGUAUAAACCUUGAGAGUCAAAUGCCUAAGAACGGGUCAAUUACGUAGCAUGACUAUCCAAAGGAUAAAAUUAAGGAUAACGGUCCGUUAUGUUAAAUCCACUACAAAAUAGUUGUGGUGGAAUAUAAGAGGCUAUUUAAAAAUGGAAAUACGAAGUGUACAAAGAGAAAUGCGAGUUUGAUGCUUAAAUGCAUGAAAACUUCUAAACGGGUCAAAAUAAAGUAGGUGGUAAAAUGUUGGCUUAAGUGUAAUAAAGAAAAACGUAAACCGGGUAACGGGAGCGUAAACUAUAUGAAUAAUGGAUCCGGGUAAUGGAUCAUAACUUAGAUAUGUUAAGAAACGAACCCUGAACGAUUAAAAUAAGUUUGGAUAGCUUUGGAUGUAAAUUGGGUGAAAAAUAAAUGUGCAGAGUUGACACGGCCGGGUGAACAUUUGGCACGGCCGGGUGAAGGGGCUGUGAAAAAUACAUGUUUAGCUGACACGGCCGGGUGAACAUUUGACACGGCCGG